CAAGGUCAUGAAUGGGACACAGCACCCCAGCAUAUCCUUCUCUUCAUAAGAGAGACAAGUUGUCUCUCUGUUGCCCAGGCUGGAAUGCAGUGGUGUAAGCGCGUCCGGGAUUGGCGGGUUCUUGGUCCCGCUGACUUCAAGACUGAAGCCGCCGACCCUCGCGGUGAGUGUUACAGUUCUUAAAGAUGGUGUGUCCGGAGUUUGUUCCUUCAGAUGUUCAGAUGUGUCCGGAGUUUCUUCCUUCUGGUGGGUUCGUGGUCUCGCUGACUUCAGGAGUGAAACUGCAGACCUUUGCGGUGAGUGUUACAGCUCUUAAAGGCUGCGUGUCUGGAAUUGUUCGUUCCUUCUGGUGGGCUCGUGGUCUCACUGGCCUCAAGAGUGAAACCGCAGACCUUCGCAGUGAGUGUUACAGUUCAUAAAGGUGGCGCGGCCAGAGUUGUCCGUUCCUCCCGUCCCUCCCGGUGGGUUUGUGGUCUCGGUGGCUUCAGGAGUGAAGCUGCAAACCUUCGCAGUGAGUGUUACAGCAGCACAGACCCAAAGAGUGAGCAGCAGCAAAAUUUAUUGGGAAGAGCAAAAGAAUACAGCAUGGAAGGGGACCCCAGCGGGUUGCCACUCCUGGCUAGGUGGACUGCUUUUAUUCCCUUAUCUGGUCCCACCCACAUCCUGCUGAUUGGUCCAUUUUACAGAGAGUUGAUUGGUCCGUUUUAACAGAGUGCUGAUUGGUGCGUUUACAAACCUUUAGCUAGACACAGAGUGCUGAUUACUGCAGUUUACAAUCCUUUAGCUAGACAGAAAAGUUCUCCAAGUCCCCACCCCUCCCAGAAGCCCAGCCGGCUUCACCUCUCACCAGAAGCCCCGCCGGCUUCACCUCUCACCAGAAGCCCCGCCGGCUUCACCUCUCACCAGCACUUGCCGCGGGACUUUGUGGCACCUAGCCCAGGCACUCCGGCAGCCCAGAGGGAGCUCGUCGCCCCCCCCAUCAAGCCCCGCAGGCCCCCGCCGGCUGUGCGGGGCCAAGAAGCCUCCGCCCACCCAGAACCCAUGCCGGCCCACGAGUGCUGGGCGCAGCCCCAGCUCCUGCCCGCGUCUCUCCCUCCACACCUCUCCGCGAACAGAGGGAGCUGGCUCCAGCCUCGGCCGGCCCCAGAGAGGGGCCCCCACAGCGCAGUGACGGGCUGAAGGGCUCCUCAAGCGCAGCCAGAGCGGACGCGGAGGCCAAGGAGGCGCCCAGAGCGAGCGACGGCCGCCAGCACGUUAUCACCUCUCAAUGCCUGGCUUAUUUUAUUUUAUUUUAUUUUUAGUAGAGAUGGGGUCUGCUUUGUUGCCCAGGCUGGCCUUGAACUCCUAACCUCAAGUGAUUCUCCUGCUUCAGCCUCCCAAAGUGCUGGGAUUUUAGGUUUGAGCCACUGCUCACUGCCAAAAUUUUAAAAUCUGUGAAUAUUAUGGACACAUCUACAUGUCUAACUCCUCAUAACUGUGGUUUUCAACAAGAAGUAUGUGUUGGCAUUAGUGCAGUACUUGUUCGGGUUUCCCUGUGAUUCUUGGAGACAAGAACCAACGCAUCUGUGUAAUUUUUUUAUCUAAAUCUAAACUUUAUAUCUGAAGAAAGUAAUGUUUAUUGUGACGAUAGUGGUUACAAUAAAUUAAACCAUGUAAUUUUAUUAGAUUUGGUGACUAACUUUAUUAACAUACUUCUGUAGGGAGAUAAAGAAAAAACAGGCACUCUUAUACACACACAUACAUACAGUUAAACUAAGUAUUAUAAUUGCCAUUAAUUCUCAUAGGGAAAGGCAAUUUACGCAUUUCCAAAUACCAGCUAAAAAUCUCUACGUGCAAUUCUAAAAAUCCUAAAAUUCAGUAUAUCCAAACUGAAAACCAUCAAUUUCCCCAUCCAACCGUGAGUUAUCUCCUGGACUCCUCUGAGAAUUAACAGUGUUUCAUUCUACUUUAAAGAAACUGAAAUUUAAUAUUGUAGAUGAUGCUGUAUGAGGGAGGCAUAAGCAUGAAAGAGGACAAGGAACUGCAUCUGGGAACUCUUCUUAGUAGAAAAGCUUUGUUCUUCCUCAUGAAAUUGGUGAAAAGAUGCACAUUUUUGUUUUGUGACUAAAAUUUUAAAUAAUUAACCAACCAAAUAUUUUGAUUAGAAAACUAAAUAUACAUCCUAGUUGAAUCAAUAAAAGAGCUUCCACUGUACACUUUACUCUCCCAGGCACUUAGGCUUAAAACUCCAAAGUAACAUUUACUGAACUUUGUUUCCAAAUUGUGUCAAUAAAUCUAAAAUAAACGUUUAUGUUACACUAGGCUUAGUAAUUGCCGCAAGUUAUUCCUCUCUCUUAGAAAAUUAUAAUGCAUGUUGUCAUAUUAAAGACUCUGAGAGGUCCUUCAGGAAAAAUAUUAACUAUUUAACCUUACAAAAACUAGUGUUUCUUUCAAACAAUUUUUGACAAUAAAAUGCCUGCCUCCACAUUCUUUUACAAAUUUAUGCUGUUCAAAACUAGGUAAGGAAUGCAUUCCAGAAUUGCUUUGCUUCUCUCACCUCUCACAUCUAGGUACAGUCACACUCCGCAUCAUGACGCUUCAGUCAACUACGGAUUUCAUACACGACUGUGGUCCCAAAUCAUUUAAUGGAGCUGAAAAUUUUCUGUCACCUAGUGGCAUUGUAAUGUUAAGAGCAAAGCAUUUGCUCACAUGUUUGUGUGAUGCUUUGUGGUAAAUAAACCUACUGCACUGCCAGUCAUACAAAAGUAAAUACAUACAAUUAUAUACAGUGAAUAAUAUUUGAUAGUAAAUGACUAUAUUACUGGUUAUUUACUACACUGUACUUUUUAUCAUUAUUUUCUAAUAUAUACCUUACACUUAAUUUUUUUAAAUUAGCUGUAAAACAGCCUCAAGCAGGUCCUAAAGGAGGUAUUCUAGAAGACAUCAUUAUCAUAGGCGAUGACAGACCUUACAGUGGGGCAAGAUGUUGGAGUGGAAGGUAGUGAUAUUGGUGAUCCUGACCCAGUGUAGGGCUUGGUUAG
rnacentral:lncRNA from 1 species